rnacentral:sRNA from 1 species
CCCCCGCUGUGAGAGACACGAUGUCAUGGAAGACAGGGUGGCACAGUCUAAUGAUGACACUCUGCACCACUUCAAGAGAGUAGUUCACCUGGUCUGAGAACCACGUUUCUUAUCAAAAACUGUAGAUAUUCCUGGGCACUCCUAAGAAUUCAGUGCAGUUCCCUGGGGUACCUUGGCACACAAUUUGGGAACCACAGGCACAAACAGGGCUUAUGGGCUUGUCCUGGGAUUUUCACUAAUUAGGAUGUCUUCAAUAUCUGUCUUCCGUGUAUCUUCUUCCCUGGCUGUGUCUAAAUUUGAACUAUGGUGCAGAUCUUGCUGGAACUCUGGACCUUGAGCCCUUGGCUCCUGUGUCCUUCAGGCCAGCACAGGAGGAAACUUACUUAAGUUAUCUUUGAAGUUGUAUUUCGAAGCUCCUCUUUUAACUGCAAAGUGCUUGGAAAGGUUCUGCCUGGCUGGCGUGCCCCAGUGGAGAGCAAGUUUCAGGAGAAGGGAGAUGGCUCCUUCCUUCUUUCUGGUGGGCCCUGACCCCUUCCUUAACCUUGUGUCUCCGGAAUGUCAUCCUCAGCAACUGCGUGAGAAGAACAACCUUUGGCCUUUUUUCUCCCUUCCCAGUAUGGACGAACACCUCUGCACCUUGCGGCCAACAACGGAAUCCUAGACGUGGUCCGGUAUCUCUGUCUGAUGGGAGCCAGCGUGGAGGCGCUGACCACGGAUGGAAAGACGGCAGAAGAUCUUGCUAGAUCAGAACAGCACGAGCACGUAGCAGGUCUCCUUGCAAGACUUCGAAAGGUGAGAAGUUCUGUUUAUGGGUCUGAAGUUCUCUACUUGUGUUUAUGUGAAAAAGUCUCAGUCUUUUUCCUUAUUUGAGAAUGAGCAAAAUGAGGCUCUAGAUAGCCAGAUUUUAGGAACAGUGGUCCCUGUCCUGUGGUUUGCAUGUCAGUCGGUAUAAAUGCAUCAGCUCCCUAUCUGUUUUCUUCUCUAUUUGGACUUGGAAAUCUUUUACCCUGUUUGCAGUUGCUGUGCCUGGUUUUCCUUCUCCCCUUCACUCUGUAAUAAACCACUCC